AUUGAACGCUGGCGGCAGGCCUAACACAUGCAAGUCGAGCGGAUGAAGGGAGCUUGCUCCUGGAUUCAGCGGCGGACGGGUGAGUAAUGCCUAGGAAUCUGCCUGGUAGUGGGGGAUAACGUCCGGAAACGGGCGCUAAUACCGCAUACGUCCUGAGGGAGAAAGUGGGGGAUCUUCGGACCUCACGCUAUCAGAUGAGCCUAGGUCGGAUUAGCUAGUUGGUGGGGUAAAGGCCUACCAAGGCGACGAUCCGUAACUGGUCUGAGAGGAUGAUCAGUCACAAUGGAACUGAGAAACGGUCCAGACUCCUACGGGAAGCCGCAGUUGGGAAAUAUGGACCAAGGGCCGAAGCCUUAUUCAGGCAUGCCCGGGGUGUUGAAGAGGGCCUCGGAUUUUUAAACACUUUAAGUUGGGAGGAAGGGCAGUAAGUUAAUACCUUGCUGUUUUGACGUUACCAACAGAAUAAGCACCGGCUAACUUCGUG
rnacentral:rRNA from 1 species